CCCAAACCCCCUUGUCUACUAAGACGACAAUGCAUACUCUCAUAGCAUGUUGUGGCCACCGAGGCUUCAGAUCUCAGUCGCUUCUAACUGGCUUCACGAUGUGAUGUGACAACUGCUUUAAGCUCCUGCUUCCUCGAUUUCCCUGUCAGGAUGGACCACACCCUUGGACUGUGAGCCAGAAUAAACCCUUUCUUCCAUAA